GGCGCAACUAAGUAGUCUAAUGUUGUUCCGGUUUUGGUUCUUGUGAACGUUGACAUCGAUUCGUUCCAAAUUUACACUCUCGGGGCAAAAUAGGACAAUAUAAUUAAGUUUUACGCUUUGUUCGAUCGAAUGAGAAAAUGUACGCGUUGCAAAUUUAUACUGUUAGGGCGCAGCUGGGUAGUCUAAUGUUGUUCCGGUUUCGGUUCAUGUGAAGGUUGACAUCGAUUCGUUCCAAAUGUACACUCUUGGGGCAUAAUAGAACAAUAUAAUUAGCUUUUACACUUUGUUCAAUCGAAUGGAAAAAAAUACUCGUUGCAAAGUUAUACUGUUAGGGCGCAGCUUAGUAGUCUAAUGUUGUUCCGGUUUUGGUUCUUGUGAAGGUUGACAUCGAUUCGUUCUAAAUUUACACUCGCGGGGCAUAAUAGAACAAUAUAAUUAGCUUUUACACUUUGUUCGGUCGAAUGGGAAAAAGUACUCGUUGCAAAGUUAUACUGUUAGGGCGGAACUGAGUAGACUAUUGUUGUUCCGGUUUUGGUUCUUGUGAAGGUUGACAUCGAUUCGUUCCAAAUUUACACUCUUGGGGCAUAAUAGAACAAUAUAAUUAGUUUUUACACUUUGUUCGAUUGAUUAAGAAAAAGUACUAGUUGCAAAGUUAUACUGUUGGGGCGCAACAGAGUAGUCUAUUGUUGUUCCGGUUUUGAUUCUUGCUAAGGUUGACAUCGAUUCGUUCCAAAUUUACACUCUCGGGGCAUAAUAGAACAAUAUAAUUUGGUUUUACUCUUUGUUCGAUAGAAUAAGAAAAAGUAGUCAUUGCAAUGUUAUACUGUUAGGGCGCCACUGAAUAGUCUAAUAUUGUUCCGGUUUUGGUUCUUGUGAACGUUGACAUCGAUUCGUUCGAAAUUACAACUCUCGGGGCAUAAUUGAACAAUAUAAUUAGGUUUUACUCUUUGUUCGAUAGAAUGAGAAAAAGUACUCGUCGCAAAGUUAUACUGCUAGGGCGCAACUGAGUAGUCUAAUGUUGUUCCGAUUUUGGUUCUUGUGAACGUUGACAUCGAUUCGUUCCAAAUUUACACUCUCGGGGCACAAUUGAACAAUAUAAUUAGGUUUUACUCUUUGUUCGAUAAAAAGAGAAAAAGUACUCGUUGCAAAGUUAUACUGUUAGGGCGCAACAGAGUAGUCUAAUGUUGUUCCGGUUUUCGUUCUUGUGAACGGUGACAUCGAUUCGUUCCAAAUUUACACUCUCGGGNCUGGGAACUUGUUGUACACAAUCUCGUCGUUGUGCCUUGGGCGGACAGGGGAGGUACUGUCCGUACGGCGGUCCGCCGCCGUGCCCGAACCGAACCAAAUUGGUAUCGGCCUCGGGGCGGGGGCGUGACAGAAAAAUUACUAGUUGCAAAGUUAUACUGUUGGGGCGCAACAGAGUAGUCUAUUGUUGUUCCGGUUUUGGUUAUUGUUAAGGUUGACAUCGAUUCGUUUCAAAUUUACACUCUCGAGGCAUAAUAGAACAAUAUAAUUAGGUUUUACUCUUUGUUCGAUAGAAUGAGAAAAAGUACUCAUUGCAAAGUUAUACUGUUAGGGCGCAACCGAAUAGUCUAAUGUUGUUCCGGUUUUGGUUCUUGUGAACGCUGACAUCAAUUGGUUCGAAAUUACAACUCUCGGGGCAUAAUUGAACAAUAUAAAUUAGGUUUUACUCUUUGUUCGAUAGAAUGAGAAAAAGAACUCGUCGCAAAGUUAUACUGCUAGGGGGCAACUGAGUAGUCUAAUAUUGUUCCGGUUUUGGUUCUUGUGAACGUUGACAUCGAUUCGUUCCAAAUUUACACUCUCGGGGCAUAAUAGAACAAUACAAUUAAGUUUUACUCUUUGUUCGAUCGAAUGAGAAAAAGUACUCGUUGCAAAUUUAUAAUAUUAGGGCGCAGCUGAGUAGUCUAAUGUUGUUCCGGUUUUGGUUCUUGUGAAGGUUGACAUCGAUUCGUUCCAAAUUUACACUCUUGGGGCAUAAUAGAACAAUAUAAUUAGCUUUUACACUUUGUUCGAUCGAAUGGGAAAAAAGUACUCGUUACAAAGUUAUACUGUUAGGGCGCAACUGAGUAGUCUAUUGUUAUUCCAGUUUUGGUUCUUGUGAAGGUUGACAUCGAUUCGUUCCAAAUUUACACUCUCGGGGCAUAAUAGAACAAUAAAAUUAGCUUUUACACUUUGUUCGAUUGAAU
rnacentral:lncRNA from 1 species